rnacentral:lncRNA from 1 species
GUCUUUCGUCCACUCUUCUCUCAGCGGGCGCUCCACGGCCCUGCUCUGGGCUCGCCUGAGUGCUGGGCUCUGCAGACGCAGGGAUGGGCCAGGCGAGCCCCUCACCACGGAGGUAGCAGGUCCAGAGGAAGCAGCAGAGGCUUCCUGGAGGAGGUGACAGGCGGAUCAGAGGCUGAGGGAUGUCUAGGAGUGAGCCUGGGCGGGAGGGGAAAUGAUGUUACAGGACGAACAGGCCUGUGCAGUGUGCGCGUGGGGCGGGGGAGGGAGGGAUAGGGGUGAGAUCCCAAGAUGUGGAUGAGCAGGGAGAAGCUGGGGGCGCAGGGCUGGACCCCUGCACCUGUCAUGGGCUCCGGCUGGGAUAUUAUAAAUCCCUGUGGCUGGUUUGGUUUCCGUGCCAUGUGCAUCUGUGCAUGUUGCACGCUCAUGUGAUCAUGGGGACGUGAGGCAGGUGGAUUGGGCCUGGUGCACAGACUAUUCAUCGUCGUUAAGUACGCUCCAGGCCCCUAGUCAGAGGGGCAACCAGGGGGGGCCCGCAGGGAAGACAAGGAAUCCUCGCUGUGAUGGAGAAAGACGAGGUCUGUGGGGCGGGCCGGGCGGGGGGGAAGGGGAGGGCACGGAAGGGAUGCCAUCCCUGCCGCUAGGGGCCGCGCACCUAGGCCCGCGCUGUCCGCCCCUGCUGUCUUCUGCAGGAAGGAGAAGGCACCUCUUCCUCUGGAGGGCUGCAGCCCGCCUCACCCACACUGGGGAGAAUGGGUGCGGAGAGCGAGCUGGGAUUCGAUUUCAGCCUCAGACUUGUGAGCCGGGUCCAACCCACACAACCUUCUUUAGAGAAUGAGAUUCCAGGGCAUUGGCCACUCAAAACAACCGGCCUGCAGGUGCCAAGAGCCAGUGUUAGGUCCACCCUCCCUCCCCUCUUGCCCCUUCACCUCCCUCGCGGAUGGGCAGGUGCUGUUAGCCCUUGGCCUGGAAACCACCCUGUCUCCUCAGCAGCCUCCUGAGCCGUAGUCCCCCAAAGGGCAGCCCAGCGGCAAUAUCUGUGGCCACCCCACCAGAAAGGGACUUAGAUCCCCAGAGAGCCCGGCACGGUGCUCCUGCCAUCAUCACCCCUCCUGUCCCUUGUUCAUUCAGUCAUUCAGCAAGCAUUUCAGGCCCUGUUCUGUGCCAACCCUGUGCUGGGCCUGCGGGUACCAAGGUGAAUCAGGCAUGGUGCCAGCCCCGGAGAGGUCCCUGACCUGUGGGGAGACAGACCAUUAGCACACAGACAACGAAAUGCAGGCGUCCUUUCACCUAUAUGUGCCAAACGCCCUUCAAGGCUCAAGGAUACAGUGGAAACAGAUAAGGUUCCUCCCUGCUCUCCUGCAGUUAUGUCUUAGUUGGAAGAGAUACACACAAAAGCAGGAAAACAAAAGAUUAUUUCAGGUCAUCAUAACUUCUAUGGAAAAAACAAAACAGACCCAGGUGAGAGCAAUGGGGGUAACUGUAGAGGUGAUCAGGCAAGGCCUCACAGAGGAGGUGACAUUUCACUGAAUGGCAAGAUGGAUCCUGACCCAUGAAGAUCAGGCGGAAGGGCAUUCUUGGCAAAGGGAAUGGCAAUCAAGGAUUUGUACCCCUAGGAGGACUAUGUCUUCCUCAUCUUUGUCUUCAGAGGAUAAAUACAAGGCCUGACACAUAACAAGCAUGAGAUUAAUUUACCCGAGGUCAACCACGGUCCAAAGAUAUUAAAUGGAAAAUUCCAGAAAUAAACAAUGUGUAAGUUUUCAGUUGCAUGCUAUUCUGAGUAGCAGGAUGAAAUCUCGUGCUGUCCGGCUUCGUCCCACCUGGGAUGUGAAUCAUCCCUUUGUCCAGUGGAUCCGCGCUAUAGACACUACUCUCCCAUCAGUCACUCAGCAGCUGCUUCAGUUCCCAGAUCAACUGUCGCAGGAUCGCAGUGCUUCUGUUCAAGUAAUCCUUAUUUUACUUCAUUAUGGGCUCCAAAGCACAAGAGGAGUGUUGCUGGUGAUUCCGAUAUGCCAAAGGAAAGCUGUAAAGUACUUCCUUUAAGUAGAAAGGUGAAAGUACUUGACUUAAUAAGAAAAUUUAAAAAACAAAAUUGUAUGCUGUGGUUGCUAAGAUCUACAGUAAGAAUGAUUCUAUUCAUGAAAUCGUGAAGAAGGAAAGAAAUUUGUGCUAGUUUUGCUGUUGCAACUCAAGCUGCAAAAGUUACAACACCUGUGUGUGAUGAGUGCUUAGUAAUGAUGGAAAAGCCAUUAAAUUUGUGGGUGCAAGACACGGACAGAAACGUUCUGAUUGACGGCAAUCAGGUUCCAUUGGGGGUAUUGGAACACAUCCCUGAGGAUAAUGGGGGACUACUGUAUUCUACCAACUUAUUCCUCUUGAAGAAUUCCCUUUCGGAUUUCUGACUGCUGAGUCCUGGACUGGUUGAUGGCAAGGCCAGCUGCCCUGGUUGUCACCUGGAGACUGUGCUGCACUUUUCUCCUGGGUCGAACCCCUCAAUUCCUAGAUCCCACGUCUUCCCCUUCUGGGUUCACUACCUUAUUUGGGGGAACAUAUACCCAUAGCUUUCUUUUUGUUUUAUUUUUUGUUUACCUAUUUAUUUAUCUUAUUUUAUUUUUUGAGACGGAGUCUCCCUCUGUUGCCCAGUCUGGAGUGCAGUGGUGUGACCUCGUCUCACUGCAGCCUCCACCCCCCAGGUUCAAGCAAUUCUCCUGCUUCAGCCUCCCAAGUAGCUGGGACUACAGGUACGUGCCACCAUGUCUGGCUAAUUUUUGUAUUUCUAGUAGAGAUGGGGUUUCUCCAUGUUGGCCAGGCUAGUCUCAAAUUCCUGACCUCAGGUGAUCCAACCGCCUUGGCCUCCCAAAGUGCUGGGAUUGCAGGCAUAAGCCACUGCGCCUGGCCCCAUGUAUACCUAUACUUUUCUAAAAGGAUGUGUUUGGGGUGAAAUCUUAAGACCUUGCCUUUCUAAAAGUGCCUCACAUUUAAUCAGAUAGUUUGACCAGGUAUAAAUUUCUAAACUGGAAAUAUUUUUCCCUCUGAAUUUUGAAGGCUUGCUCCAUUGUCUUCCAGUUUCUGCUGAAAAGUCUGAGGCCAUUCUGUUUCCUAAUCUUUUCUAGAGACUCUGUUCUCUCUUUCUGGAAGCUGUGUCCUCAGUGGGUCUUUUCUUUUAAGAGAAGGGAUCCCAUCGCCACCGAGGCUGGAGUUCAGUGGCACAAUCAUCGCUCACUGCAGCCUUGACCUCCUGGGCUCAAGGAUCCUCCUGCCCCAGCCUCCUGAGUAGUUAGGACUACAGGCUCAUACCACCAUGCCUGCUCAGCCUUAGUGUGUCUUGAAGUGAAUCGAUUUCCAUUCACUGUGCUGGGUACCCAGUGAGUCCUCACGGACAAACUAAUCAUCUUCAUUUUGGAGAAAAUUUAAAAGAAGUACCUCUAUAAUGAUUUUAUUUUUUCUUUCAGGAACUCCUUAAUUAUUCAAAUACUGGCCCUCCUGGAGCAGUUCUCUAUAUUUCUUAUAUCCUUUUUCCACCUAUUUUUCAUCCCAUUUUGCUCUUCAUUCUGGAAAUGUUCUUCAACUCUUCAACAGUUUUUUGUUGUUUUUCAAAAAUUUAUCUUAUCAUAUUUCCAAAAGCCUUUUGUUUGUUCUUUGACUAUUCCUUUUUUUAGAGUAUCUCGUUCUUUUCUCACGGAUGCAAUAUUUUCUCUUAUUUCUUUGAGGAUGUUAGUAAUGUUUUGUUGUUGUUUCUGUUGAAGUGUUUCUCACCAUGCCUAAUCUCUUCUUUGUCCAAGUUAAUUUUUUUUUCUGAUUGUUGAAAAGACAAGCCACAUACUGGGAGAAUAUAUUACAGCACAAAUAACGCACAAAGCAUUACUAUCCGGAAUACAUAAGUAAUUCUUACAAAUUGGUAAGAAGACAACUCAAUUAAAAAAGAGCAAAAGAUAUGAAUGAGCAUUUCACAGCAGAAAAAUAUGAAUGAAAAAUAAACCACAAGAAAAGAUUCUCAGCCUUAUAGAAAUCAGGAAAAUGUAAAUUAAGACCACAGGAAGAUUUUCCAUGGAAAAGAAGUCCCAUAGUGGCAAGUAUUGGAGAGGCAGGAAUCAACAGGGAUCCUUAUAUGCUCCUAAUGCAGUGUAAAUUGCUGCAACCACUUUAGAAUAUUGCGAUUUCAUUACUAAGUGUAAACCCUGGAGAUACACUUGCAUGCAAGCACCCAGAGACAGGUGCAAGGAUAUUCAUAGCAGUGCUGUUUAUUAUGGUAAAAACAUGGAAACCACCCUAAUGUCCUUAACAGUAAAAUUAAUUAAUUGUGGCAUCACCAUAUAAUGAAAUCCUAUACAGCAGUGGCAAUGAGUCUAACAUAGCUGUGGCUGGAUACAGAAGGAAUCAUAGAAUUAUAAUGCGGAGUGAGAAAAGCCUGUUGCAGAAGACUACAUACAACAGGAUUUGACACUUGUAAGGCUCCAAAACAAAGAAAAUUAAAUGAUAUUGUUUAGGUUUUCAUACAUAGGUGAUAAAAGUGUGUUUCUUUGUUUUUAAUGAGAAAAUUAGUCACAGAAUUUAAGAUCUUAGUUACUUCUAUAGGGAAGGCAGGGGAAUGGGACAAGGAGGAAGCCCACAGCAUUGGUCAUGCUCUCAUGUUGAAGUUGGGUUCAAAGGUGUUCAUUAUUAAAAUGCUUCAUAAUGAUGACCAUACAUUUGGUAUUUCUAGGACAAUCUUGGUUUACAUCUAUUGUCUCAACAUAAUUAUUCAGUGCAAGCCUUUCCUUUCUCAGAAAGGUCCUAAUGUAGAUAAUAAAUUAUUUUGGCCAACUUAUUUCUUAUAAAAUGCAACAUGCAUCUCUUUUGUAUGUAUCUAUUAUUCCAUAAUCUAUACAGGUGUUUUUGUUUUUUUGUUUUUGUUUUUGUUGUCAUUGUUGUUGUUUGUUUGUUUUUUUGAGACAAGCCUCUCUCUGUUGCCCAAGCUAGAGUAAAGUGGCACGAUCUGAGCUCACUGCAACCUCCGCCUCCGGGUUCAAGCGAUUCUUGUGCCUCAGCUUAUCAGGUAGCUGGGACUACAGGCACCCACCACCACAUCUGGCUAAAUUUUUGUAUAUUUAGUAGAGACAGGGUUUUGCCAUGUUGCCCAGGCUGAUCUCGAACUCCUGGCCUCAAGUGAUCUGCCCACCUCAGCCUCCCAAGGCUAGGAUUACGCUAAGAUUAUAGACAUAAAUCAGCGCACCUGGCCUCCAUAAUCGAUAUAGUUUUUAAUACUGGGGCCACAGCCUGGCCACAGUCUCAUGGGAUGUUUGUGGUUUGACCCUAACAACCUUGUGAACCAGCCUGGGUAACUGUCCUUGGGGCCUCAAUGAACCAAGCCCUGGAGCACCCAGUCCCCAGAUCCUUCUGGCCACUCUGACUCCCUGUGCCCUGGACCCCACACCUCACCUGUCCUGGGCCCCACUCUGUCCUCUCCUCCACUUCUCACUGCCUGUGGAGCCAUCUUCCAGGGGCCCUGAAACCUCACCCACAAUCCAGGUCCACCCAGGGCCCCUGUGCCAGGCCCCAUGCUGGGUGAUAUUGGGGAACCAUCUUGGGGGCAGCUGGAGAUGGAAACCGUGACAACCCAGUGGAUCAAGGCUAUGGCACAGACCAGGCUGUGACACUGCAGAGGAGAGGGCUUAGCCCAACCUGGGGCCCAGGGAAGGCUGCCUGGAGCUGUUUUGAAGUCUGACGGGAGUGAGCUGGGUAGGGAAAGUGGGGGGAAGAGUGCUCCGGGCAGACAGGACAAAGUGCAGACAGUAGGGUAAGGAGGCACGGUGGGGGACGCAGCUCACAUGUUGCUGUGAGCAGAGCACAGAGCACAGGGCAGUGCCUGGCAGAAGUGGGUCUGGAAAGGGUGCCUCCUGGAGCCAUGAAUGCCAAGCCCAGGGUCUUGGACUGUAUCCUGAAGGCAGCAAGGAGGCACUGAAGGCAUUAGAGCGAAGCAAGGAGAACUGUCAGGCCAGGUGAGUCAUAUCAAGUGAGGUGAGAGUGAAAUUGGGAGAGAGAAGCGGAAAGAGACAAGGCAGCAGAGACAUUUUAUUGUUCUGCUUCGUCCUGGAAACCCACUCCCUGACAGCCUCCUCCCCCUGUCCUGCACCCACCACCCCCACACCUAUCCAUACACACACUGCAGAGCCGGUAGGGGAGGAAUAGCUCUGUGGUCUUGUGUGCAGGUGCUGCUAUGGGACUUCCUGGGUUCACAUCCCAACCUUGCCACUUGUCCUACCUGUGUAACUUUGGGCAGUGGCUCAAUGUCUCCAUGUGUCCAGUUUCCCUGUAAAAUGAGGAUGAUGGAAGUACUUACCUCACUGAAGCUUAACUGAGUCACAGGGGCCUGGCACAUAGUAAGCUCUCAAUCACUGUGAGCCGUCAUGGUCACUGGGGUGACACCACCUGCUCUCCUCCAAAACAGAGGAGACUAUACCCAAGGAAGAAGAAACCAGAGAAAGGACAGGAAGGUUUGGUGGCAGCGACUAGUCUCGAGACGGCAGUCCCCAGAACAGGGCUGGAUGUGUCCCCACCAGUAGACAGGCCCAGAUGCAAGGCCUCUGAUGUGUCUGCCGCUGCAGCCUCCAUUCCUAGGGUGGUGACUCAAUAAAUAUGUGCUGAAUGAAUGAAUGAAUGAAUGAAAUGUCAUGACUUCCAGGUACCCCACUGAUGUGGUUUGACUGUGUCACCACCUAAAUCUCAUCUUGAAUUGUAGCUCCCACAAUCAGGUGUUGUGGGAGGGACGUGAAUCAUGGGGGUGGGUUUUUCCCAUGCUGUUCUCGUGAUAGUGACUAAGUCUCACAAGAUCUGAUGGUUUUAUAAAGGGCAGUUCCCCUACACACGCUUUCUUGCCUGCCACCAUGUAAGAUGUGCCUUUGCUCCUCCUUCAUCUUCCGCCAUGAUUGUGAGGCCUCCUCAGCCAUGUGGAAUUGUGAGUCCAUUAAACCUCUUUUUCUUUAUAAAUUAUCAAGUCUCAGGUAUGUAUUUAUAGCAGCAUAAGAACAGACUAAUACACCCACCUACAAAUAAAGCCCUGAGGUCUCUUCCCCGCCCUUGCUUGGGUGGGUGCAGUGAGUGGAAUGUGUAGUCCCUGAUGCACCAUCUCCGGCCCUUACAGUUUAUGGCUCCUCACUGGGCUGUGUCCAGCAACAUCUAUCCUGCUGUUUCCCCUACUCUGGGCUGUCCCUGCUCUUGCCGCUUUCCUGGGGAGUGGGUGAGGACUGAGGGACACUCAGCCCCAGCCUGGGGACCCAGGGACGAGGAGACACCUCGGGAGGGCUGGGUCACUUCAGGCAAUUACCUUCACCUCUCUAAGCCUCUUGAAAAUGGGCAGAAUGAUCCCUAGGUGUCAGAGGUAUGGAGAGCAUCAUGGGAGAUGACAUCCCUGAAGUGAGGCACACUGUGAUCUGUGUGUCAGCAUUGGCAGGCUGGGAAUAGGGUGAACCUGUGAGGCACCUGGGGUGCAAGUUCUCCCUGGGUCUGGCCCUGUGCUUGGUAAAUGCUGCCUUUUACUACAUAAGGGACAAGUCUGUCAAGAGUGCCUGAGCAAUGGCCUGCAGCCGGGCCUGGGGACAGGGCUUUCCUGGGCUGGUGAUGGUCUGAAGCCCAAGUGGCAAGAAGAAAACUGGAGCCAAGAGGCCCCUUCCACUCAGGACCAGCCUCUCCCCACCCCUCACCCCAUACUCCCCAGGAGCCCAAUAGACACAUCAUUUCUCUUCCCCUCCAUGAGUGAG